GACAGAGGUGGCAAGCGUUGUUCGGAAUUACUGGGCUUAAAGGGCGAGUAGGCGGUGGAACAAGUCUGAGGUGGAAUCCUAUGGCUUAACCAUAGAACUGCCUUAGAAACUGUUUUACUUGAGUCAGUGAGGGGAGGGCGGAAUUCCUGGUGUAGCGGUGAAAUGCGUAGAUAUCAGGAGGAAGGCCUGUGGCGAAAGCGGCCCUCUGGCACUGUACUGACGCUGAGGCGCGAAAGCGUGGGGAGCAAACAGGAUUAGAUACCCCCGUAGUCC
rnacentral:rRNA from 1 species